CCUACGGGAGGCAGCAGUGGGGAAUUUUGCGCAAUGCUCGUAAGAGUGACGCAGCGACGCCGCGUGAAUGACGAAGGCCUUCGGGUCGUAAAGUUCUUUCGACAGGGAAGAAAAUGCCUAUAAGUAACUGUGUAUGUAUUGACGGUACCUGUAUAAGCAGCCCCGGCUAACUCCGUGCCAGCAGCCGCGGUAAUACGGAGGGGGCGAGCGUUGUUCGGAGUGACUGGGCGUAAAGAGCACGUAGGCUGGGUUGUAAGUCAUUAGUCAAAGACUAGAGCUCAACUUUAGUAAGGCUAGUGAUACUAUACUACUAGAGUAUCAGAGAGGAUUGCAGAAUUCCUGGUGUAGCGGUGAAAUGCAUAGAUAUCAGGAGGAAUACCGUUAGCGAAGGCGACCUGCUAGAACAUAACUGACGCUGAUGCGCGAAAGCGUGGGGAGCAAACAGGAUUAGAUACCCGUGUAGUC
rnacentral:rRNA from 1 species